rnacentral:rRNA from 1 species
UCCGUAGGCGGGCAAUUAAGUCAGAGGUGAAAUCCCACAGCUCAACUGUGGAACUGCCUUUGAUACUGGUUGUCUUGAGUUACAGCGAAGUAGAUAGAAUAUGUAGUGUAGCGGUGAAAUGCAUAGAUAUUACAUAGAAUACCGAUUGCGAAGGCAGUCUACUAACUGUAUACUGACGCUAAUGGACGAAAGCGUGGGGAGCGAACAGGAUUAGAUAUCCUGGUAGUCC